rnacentral:rRNA from 1 species
GAUGAACGCUGGCGGCGUGCCUCAAACAUGCAAGUCGAGCGGGACUAUGUAAUAUCGCAAGGUAGAACAUAGCCUAGCGGCGAACGGGUGAGUAACACGUGGGUAACCUGCCUGGAAGACAGGGAUAACGAUUCGAAAGGGUCGCUAAUACCUGAUAAUAUCCUUUCAUCGCAUGGUGAUAGGAAGAAAGGGGAAACCCGCUUUCAGAUGGGCCCGCGUCCCAUCAGCUAGUUGGUAAGGUAAAGGCUUACCAAGGCGACGACGGGUAGCCGGUCUGAGAGGAUGUACGGCCACACUGGGACUGAGAUACGGCCCAGACUCCUACGGGAGGCAGCAGUUGGGAAUCUUAGGCAAUGGACGAAAGUCUGACCUAGCGACGCCGCGUGAGGGAAGAAGGCCUUCGGGUUGUAAACCUCUGUCAUGGGGGAAGAAGGAAGUGACGGUACCCCAAGAGGAAGCCCCUGCUAACUACGUG